rnacentral:lncRNA from 1 species
CCAGGAGCUGCCACAUCUCUCUCCUGGUCCAGGGUGGAUAAAGCUGAGGACAUUCAGGAACUUAGAGCUCUGCCAUCUCAGCACCCUGGUGAAUGAAAAAGCCGGCAUGAGCAUAAGCCAAGCAUACGUUAUUCCAAACUAGAGCUCAAAGCAACUGCAACACGCAGCUGGAAUUUCGAAUGUCGGAAACAUUUCCCACUGCGCCGCUGGGUGGGUAAUUCCCUGACCAAGCUGAAAAAGGGACCUUUACAAGAGCCUCCAAGGUCUGAAUGAAAUGUUUUCCCUGGCUCUGGACUCCCACCCUGGAUUAACAGCAGAGACAUUAGCAAAACACUGACCACAGGUUUUUAUUUUCUUUUCUGUGGAAUGUGGCUUGGUCCUCAGAACUGAUGGUGGGUUAUUUCUCCUUACAUAACCAUUUCUUCUCUGGAGACCAUUUAGAUAUAAAUAGGAAAGGCAAAGCUCUUUUUGUGGACCUAUAAGCUGGACCACCUAUUUGAAGAAGCCCCAACAAUAGUAAAGACAGUCCGGGUUGGCCCAAAUCUGAGAAGGGUGUAAAAGCAUAUAUGCUCAGUGAAAAGGGAACAUGCAGGUUUUGACAUCCAGCGCUCAUUCAGAGAUACACACAUAUACAUGCAUUCACACACACACAUGCAUACAUACAAGCCUGUAGAAAGAGAAUGAGAGAGAGAGAUGCUGAAAAGAAGGUAAAGAGGUUGCAGCAUCAGUGACAUCUUCCAAAUCUUUGUCUUAGUUUUUGCUGAUCUAACAUGUUGGUUUCCAUAGCAACCUAGUGUGGCCUGGAUAACAAGUGAAGCUCAUUUCAGAGAGUUCUACAGAGCCAGGCAGAGCAUUUUCAAUGAAAGUUCCUUCUUGUCUCCCAGGAACUGCAGUCACUGGAUUUAAGGAGUAUGAUGACCGGAGACACAGCUGUUGGAGGAAAAAAGUUUAUGUCAAUUAAAAUCCUGAAUUUCUCUGAUCUGGAAAGAAAAACUGCUAUGAACUCUUUAGCUCAACUUCUUGAUGAAAACAACAAACCCAGUGAAAAUAACUGA